GACGAACGCUGGCGGCGUGCUUAACACAUGCAAGUCGAACGAGGCCCUCUCUUCGGAGGGGUGUUCUAGUGGCGAACGGGUGAGUAACACGUGGGCAACCUGCCCCCGGCUCUGGGAUAACUCCAAGAAAUUGGGGCUAAUACCGGAUAUGACUGCUGACCGCAUGGUCUGGUGGUGGAAAGAUUUAUCGGCUGGGGAUGGGCCCGCGGCCUAUCAGCUUGUUGGUGGGGUAGUGGCCUACCAAGGCGACGACGGGUAGCCGGCCUGAGAGGGUGACCGGCCACACUGGGACUGAGACACGGCCCAGACUCCUACGGGAGGCAGCAGUGGGGAAUAUUGCGCAAUGGGCGAAAGCCUGACGCAGCGACGCCGCGUGGGGGAUGACGGCCUUCGGGUUGUAAACCUCUUUCAGUAGGGACGAAGCGGAAGUGACGGUACCUACAGAAGAAGCACCGGCCAACUACGUGCCAGCAGCCGCGGUAACAC
rnacentral:rRNA from 1 species